rnacentral:rRNA from 1 species
CCCUUAGAUGUUCUGGGCUGCACGCGCGCUACACUGAAGCGUUCAACGAGUAUUUCACCUUGCCCGGGAGGGUUGGGUAAUCUUUUUAAAACGCUUCGUGAUGGGGAUAGAUUAUUGCAAUUAUUAAUCUUCAACGAGGAAUGCCUAGUAAGCGCAAGUCAUCAGCUUGCGUUGAUUACGUCCCUGCCCUUUGUACACACCGCCCGUCGCUCCUACCGAUUGAAUGGUCCGGUGAAGCGUUCGGACCGUGGCCUUUGGACGGUUCGCCGUCUGUUGGCUGCGGGAAGUUCGUUAAACCUUAUCAUUUAGAGGAAGGAGAAGUCGUANCA